GACGAACGCUGGCGGCGUGCUUAACACAUGCAAGUCGAACGGAAAGGCCCUGCUUGCAGGGUACUCGAGUGGCGAACGGGUGAGUAACACGUGGGUGAUCUGCCCUGCACUUCGGGAUAAGCCUGGGAAACUGGGUCUAAUACCGGAUAGGAGCCAUUUUUAGUGUGAUGGUUGGAAAGUUUUUUCGGUGUAGGAUGAGCUCGCGGCCUAUCAGCUUGUUGGUGGGGUAAUGGCCUACCAAGGCGGCGACGGGUAGCCGGCCUGAGAGGGUGGACGGCCACAUUGGGACUGGGAAACGGCCCAGACUCCUACGGGAGGCAGCAGUGGGGAAUAUUGCACAAUGGGCGCAAGCCUGAUGCAGCGACGCCGCGUGGGGGAUGACGGCCUUCGGGUUGUAAACUCCUUUCGCUAGGGACGAAGCUUUUUGUGACGGUACCUAGAUAAGAAGCACCGGCUAACUACGUG
rnacentral:rRNA from 1 species